GAACCGUGUACUCCUUUUUGGUGA
rnacentral:siRNA from 1 species